UAUUAUGCAAUAAUGUCAUCAGUGAUAUAACCAUGACAACAGGCUAUGGUCAAGUGUUGACCAAUGACCUAGGAAAGGCAGUUGUUUGUAUAGUGGCCUUCUAUUCCUUCCUGGUUAAAGUGAUACAGAUGGACAUUUUCCGUCACACUCUACAGUCACGCGAUGACCAGUUCACAACGCUGAAAAGUCAAAACGACACGUAUAAAUAUAUGCAGCUAAAGGAUUUCCCCGUUGUACUAAAUCUUUGAAACGAUGCGUUACACGUCAAAUGGGGACCAUACACCGGCCUAUACCGAUGUUUUCUAAUCGCAUGAACGUCGUUACAUUUAUGAACGUCUCGUCAUAAACCGCGAGAAGCGCGUCAUGUCUGUGACGUCAUACCAUUGUUGAUUGUGUCGAGUGACGAAUCUUUGGAAACAUCGCAGCCUCUGUGAGCAGAAGGAUUACUGAAAAAUAGUUUACAGUUCAAACAAACUUCUUGGGCCUACUGAAGAUGAUGAGUGUAUGGAUCGCUUCCUCGGCCGUUGUCGCCGGCGCCUAUGUAGCUUUUAAAGCCGCAUUUUCUUGGUACGAGGCAAUACGGCGUCCAACUUUGACCAAAGUGGAAGUUGAAAUAAUCCCCCCUGCCUUCCUCUCCUCUUCUCCUUGGGGUCAAAGGCCAACAAUGCCUCACUCGCGACCGUCUGCCCGCCUUUCCGAUGAUGCUAAAGUUGCCCAUCUGAAACUUGCCACCUCCCAGCUCUACCGCCGCUCAAGGGUGGCCACGUGAAUCACUCCCAUGUAAAAUUGUGGACUUGUUCAAUCGGUUACUCGGCCGAGGAACUGAUAUUGAGAUGAAUAUGAUAUGUUGUAUUGUUGAAAGGAGGUGCUAAAUCAAGGCACUCGUAUGUUUUAUUUGGAAUAUUUUGUAUAUUUUGUUGUCGAUUUCUCUAGGAAUAUAUUCCGCGAAUUGUCAUUGCAUGUGUCAAAUGAAGUGCUAUUUAUUGUCUCAGAUUAAAAUGUAUAAAAGAA